UUCUCAAAAAUUAAGACAAAUGAAGAUGGAGUGCCAAACAGAAAAGAAAAAACGAACGAUUUUAUCCAACGAUCCGAUAUUAUUGAUUUCAAACUUUGACAGAAGGCCAGCAGGUUUGGGUGAGGGGCUAAGUCGAUUACAUGGACCCUAGUGUUCAAUUAGCACUUAUUUUAUUGACUCUGAAAGGAUGAAAGGCAAAGUUGAUCUCGGCGAAAUUUGAACCCAGAACCUAAAGACGGAUGAAAUGCCGCUAUGCAUUUUGCCUGGUGUGCUAACGAUUCUCCUAGCUCGCUGUCUUACAAUCAGAUAUUAUUGUCACUGAAAAUCUAUCUUGCGAAAUUUUUCACACCAAAUCAUGUGAUAGGUCAAAACAUCACAUGGCCUUCUCGUCUUCCCCACCCCAGACUAAAACUGUCCCUCAUCCUCCUCUGUUUCGUGAGUGAACUCCCCUACUCUAUCACUGAAUUUUGGGAGUUUUUACUUGGAUUAAGAAAUUUUACUCACACACACACACACACACACACACACACACACACACACACACACACACACACACACACACACACACACACACACACACACACACACAGACAGACAGACAGAUAGAUAGAUAGAUAGAUAGAUAGAUAGAUAGAUAGAUAGAUAGAUAGAUAGAUAUGAAGAGUUAAAUCGAUAAAUAAGAUAGAUUAUAAAUUGUACAUAUGCUUACUCAUAUAAGUCUCAAAGAAUUCAAAUUUAUAAAAUCGCUUUUGCUAAUGGUCGAAAAUACCUUCUAUUUUUUUAACAAUCGCAAAACAUGUGUCACCAUGGCAACAACGCUGUAUUCCAACGGUAACGGAAUGCUCAAACGAAUGAAAUGAUUGUUUGAAUUCCAUUCCUUCACUUAAACUUGUCUAAGUCACACUGUUUGGUGAAUAGACAAAAGUAAUUUAUUUAGAAAAGCUAGUUGAAAGCCUAGAUUUGUUUUAGCCCUACAGUUUUAUCCAUUGUAUAAUCUUUUCGUUAUGAAAAACUCCAGGACAUGUAAACAAACAGAGGGUUCAUUAUAAUCAUUUUCGUCUGAUGUUACUUCCAUGCUGACAAUUUCUCAAUUGUCUGUGAUUUAAGAAUCCGUGUUUAGAAUUCCAGCUAAAAUUUCGGCCAACUUAAUAGGAAUAAAUAUAUCAUUUUUAGAGCCUUUCUGAAAAUAAUCCUGGGCUUAUCACAAGAAAAUACCAGAAAAGUCGCACAAUAUAUUUAAGUUAUUCUACCGGAAGUCUAAUUUAUAUUCUAAGCCACAAGCUUUCAACUUGAUUGAGUACCAUCCACAGGCAUACGUAUAUCAGUACUCAUAUAUUUGAGGCAUAUCUCCUGAUAUACUGGUAUAGAAGAAGAUAAAGAACCAAAGAGGGAAAAUAUCAAAAUGUUUUACGAAUUAUUAAUGGUCGUGACAAUAGCAUGCUGCUUUACAUUUUUAAUAUAUUUUUGUGAUAUUUAUCCACAGCCGCCGCAACUAUUCAGAUUUCCAUUUUGACCUGACCAAGACCGCAAACUACAAAUGACGACGAUGGUUUCUCUCAGAUAUUUGACUUGAAUUUACUAUGCAAGAAAAGAACACAGUUUCUCAUACAGCUGGAAUUUAUACAAGCUUGUAGCAUAUACCCAAAUAUCUUUGGAGCAGUACUGAAUACCAACAUUGAGCAUACAAUGGAAAAUGAAAUGAAUGUAGCCGCUUCAAAAAGGAAUCAACUCAAUCAUGUAAAUUACAUCCAACACUUAACUGUUACAUAUUGAAUGUUGUAAAAAAAAAUAAUAAAAACAUAACCUAAAA